UAGGGAAUCUUCCGCAAUGGACGAAAGUCUGACGGAGCAACGCCGCGUGAGUGAUGAAGGUUUUCGGAUCGUAAAGCUCUGUUGCCAGGGAAGAAUGCUUGGGAGAGUAACUGCUCUCAAGGUGACGGUACCUGAGAAGAAAGCCCCGGCUAACUACGUG
rnacentral:rRNA from 1 species